AAUGAUGUUAUCGCGUGUCAACUGUACGCCUCUUUUGAGACGUUAAUGAUGAUGGAAAAGCUUUAUGUUCGGACUACUGACAA
rnacentral:snoRNA from 1 species